GCGCAGGCCGUGGUCGCCGGUCUACUACAAGGGUACUGCAUAGGAGAACCCAUUCUGCCCUCGACCACGGACUUCACCGAGGCAAUUUUCGACACGUUUGCGACGUUGGGCGUCAUUACCGAGGAAGAGUUCGCGCACAUGCUGAUACACCUCGGAAUCGGUGGGGACGAUGGCCACGACCAUGAACACGCCCGUAGGAGGAGGGACGUCAUAGCAACACGCUCGAAGGGGCGGAGCAUAGAGAAGCGAGCUACGGUAUUGGCUGAUGAUCACGACCACGCCAAUCAUAGCCAUUCACACGUUGCGAACGUUACAACGACAUGCUUUUCGAGCGAAGAACUACUUGACAUAUAC